rnacentral:rRNA from 1 species
CAGCCGCCGCGGGAAUACGAAGGGUGCAAGCGUUACUCGGAAUUACUGGGCGUAAAGCGUGCGUAGGUGGUGGUUUAAGUCCGUUGUGAAAGCCCUGGGCUCAACCUGGGAAAUGCAGUGGAUACUGGGUCACUAGAGUGUGGUAGAGGAUAGUGGAAUUUCCGGUGUAGCAGUGAAAUGCGUAGAGAUCGGAAGGAACAUCUGUGGCGAAGGCGACUAUCUGGGCCAACACUGACACUGAGGCACGAAAGCGUGGGGAGCAAACAGGAUUAGAUACCCCUGUAGUCCCUGUCUCUUAUAC